UUUCUCCAAGAAGAUAGUCAUGCAUGUGAUUUAGCAGUGGUAAGAACUUUUCUUUGGCUUACUUCACCAAUUUGCUACUGAGCCAUUGACUUGCCUAUGGAUGUGUUGGUAACUUUGAAAUCUUUUGCCAAAGAAGAAGAAAAAGAAGGAGACAAGUUUUAUUCUUUUGCCAGAGAAGAAGAAGGUGACAAGUUUUAUUCUUUUGCCAGAGAAGAAGGUGACAAGUUUUAUUAUUUAUAGGUUUUGACCCUUCCACUUUCAUGCCUGAUUAAAGUUUUCCUCUGCCCUUUGAUUUUACAGAUGCGGAUUGGCUUGUUACCCGAGGUUGUAUCGUGGUGAUCCAGUGCUAAAUCCUCUUACACCUUGGGAUAGACCUCCAUUGAAAAACAUUUUCUGUAUAUAUGGGAUAGAUAUGAAGACUGAGUUUGUGAGUGUUUAACUCCUGAUACUGUAAAUAAUAAGUAUCAUGGAUGUGAAGACUGGUGGAGGCAAGUUUUUUCAGCACAAGGCUUAUUGUGAAAAACAUAACUUGGAUCAGAAAAAGAAGGUCAUAUCAAUUGCUUUUGAAAAAUGAAUAUCUUAUGAUGCAUUGUCUUUCAUAGGAUAAAAGUCUUAUGUUACAAUGCAUAAGUUUAUUUACCCUGCCUCAUCUUGGUUUUUAUCAAUUUCUACAGGCUGAGAAUCUGCAACAUGGACCUGAUUAGGUCCGCCGCAUUAAGAAAAUCCGGGUCAGUGAGAAUGUACUAUAAUCCACAUCUUGUCUAUUUUCUCAUUCAUUAUUGGAUCCUCCUUUUGGGUUUCCUUUCCAGCACUUCCAACUCUCAAUUCUACUCUCUUUCCUUUCCCUACACAUCCAUCUGCAUUUCAUUU